AUAAUUCUGUCUUCCGUAGAAAGAAAAGGGCGUUUUUGACUGUGAUGGCAUUUCUGGAAACUGAUACACUUGGGCAGGAAAGAUUUUCCCUCCUGCUGCUGGAACCUGGCGAGAUCUACUUUGAGGACUUCAGUGUGUUUUAUUAUCCAGCAGGAUUAUCAGAGCAAGAUGCUAUCAGAAGGAAACAAAGGGGACAUCUCAAGAUGUGUUCCAAGUCCAUUGUGUUUGUCCCGAAGGAUAUACAGUUUCCUAUUAUUAAG